rnacentral:tRNA from 1 species
GGUAAUGUGGCUUAGCGGUAGAGUGCUUGCCUAGUAUGCAUGAAGCCCUGGGUUCGCUUCCUUAGUACCA